AGCGGUAGACUAUACAAUCGCCGUUAUGGUAUUGAAUUCGCUGGCAGUUUUAUGGUGUUUCUCAUGACUGGGAGUUACUUCCCCGUUUGAUCUUAAGUUAGAUGUUGUCUCUUUUAAGUCUUGGACUUGCUAAACGUUCGUGUGUGAGUCGGCGUGGACUUUGGUCUCCCUAUCGGUUUGUCGUUUCCUCCGCAAAUACUUACGUUUGCCGUUUGCCUUGGAUGGUUGGACUAAAUCUGGGAUCUUUGUGUGUGUGGUGUGUGUGUGUGUGUGUGUGUGAACGUGUGUGUGCGUGGGUGUUUGAGUAGGGCCAUGAUUGUUCCAGGAAGCACUGAAGUGGAUCAAUAGAUCGUCAGCUUCCAUUCCCCCGGCCUGACUCAACAUCGGACACGUUGAGAAUUAUCUUGCUGGCAAACAUUUUAGCACAAAUUCUCCUCCACCGAAUACUCAACCUUUUAGGUAUUUCCUUACAUUCUUCUCCCCAUUCAAAUGAAGUUUCCCAUCGCCUUGUGUUAUUUUUUUUUAGACGGCUCUGUAAAUGUGUCAGCCAGUGGGUCUCUCUAGCGCUUGUGCCAUGUGAGGUGAACUCCCGCCCCCUUGCAUGUAAAUUUUGUCUGACAUGUGAAGCUGCCACUGCCUUUUAUGGUGAGCACCGUAUUUCAGUACAGUACAAACUUGCCAACCAUUCCGGGUCGCGGGAGGAGGACGUGUGUGUGUGUGAGUGAGGGAAAGAGAGUGAGAGAGAGCGGGUGGCUCUCUGUGUCUGUAGGAGUGUAUGUGCGCGCGUGUUAGUGUUUGCAUGUGUGUGUCAUAAAGUGGGAGUAACUCGCAGAUAGGAGGAAAGUCUAACCAAAAAAGAAAAAAAACCGGGGAGAACGAGAAAGAAACGUGGAGGGCGCUGAGAAAUGGAAGAUUUUCCACUGUGCGGAAAGUUUAAAGUUUUAACCGGACUAAACGUCCCUUCUGCUCGGCAUGGGCAUUGCGGUUCACUCCUCAGGCCUCAAUGGGCAGCAGUCGGAAACGCUUUUGUCCAGAAGGCACAGUACCGUCUGUUGGUACUGGUUGGUACAGUAUCAACGUGUGUGUAUGUGUGUGUGUGUGUGUAACGGUAUAUGCGUGUGUGCUUGUGUGUGCGUGUGUG
ensembl:lncRNA